rfam:Sebaldella termitidis ATCC 33386, complete genome.
AUUGAAUAUCGGUAGGUGAGGUUAACUCAAGGGAUACGGAUUGCUGCCGCGGGAAGAUGGAGACAUUUUUUCGUUUUGGUAUGAGCAGUCUAGGUCGAUUCAAGGCUUAGAAUAAUGCAAUUUCAUUGCCCUGAGAAGCUAAAACUCGUACGAUACUGUAAUAGUA